rnacentral:rRNA from 1 species
CCUACGGGUGGCAGCAGUGGGGAAUAUUGCGCAAUGGGCGAAAGCCUGACGCAGCGACGCCGCGUGAGGGAUGAAGGUCUUCGGAUCGUAAACCUCUGUCAGCAGGGAAGAACGGUCACUGUGCUAAUCAGCAGUGAAUUGACGGUACCUGCAAAGGAAGCACCGGCUAACUCCGUGCCAGCAGCCGCGGUAAUACGGAGGGUGCGAGCGUUAAUCGGAAUUACUGGGCGUAAAGCGAUCGUAGGCGGUAUGUCAAGUCAAGGGUGAAAUCCCCGCGCUCAACGUGGGAACUGCCUUGGAAACUGGCAAACUGGAGUGUGUGAGAGGAUAGUGGAAUUCCAGGUGUAGGAGUGAAAUGCGUAGAUAUCUGGAGGAACAUCAGUGGCGAAGGCGACUAUCUGGCACAUAACUGACGCUGAGGAGCGAAAGCGUGGGUAGCAAACAGGAUUAGAUACCCCAGUAGUC